rnacentral:rRNA from 1 species
GACGAACGCUGGCGGCGCGCUUAACACAUGCAAGUCGAACGGAAAGGCCUGCUUUCCCUUGUGGUUUGCGGGUACUCGAGUGGCGAACGGGUGAGUAACACGUGAGUGAUCUGCCCCCAACUUGGGUAUAAGCCUGGGAAACUGGGUCUAAUUCCCGAUAGGACUGCAGGGUGGUGCCUGUGGUGGAAAACGAUUUUCUAGUGGUUGGGGAUGAGCUCGCGGCGUAUCAGCUUGUUGGUGGGGUAAUGGCCUACCAAGGCGAUGACGGGUAGCCGAACUGAGACGGGGAGGGGGGACAGCGGCAUUGAGACUGGGACAAGACCCAUACUGGAAGGAGAAGUAGCAAAGGGGAAUCUUGGGGAGUGAGCGGGAGCCAGAUGCGGCGAGGGUGCGUAGAAGGUGACGGGCUUGGAGUUGUAAGCUCCUUGCGACCAAGAGGAGUCCACCUAGUUGGAAGGGUGGUGACGGUAGUGGUAGAAGAAGCACCGGCUAACUACGUG